rnacentral:tRNA from 1 species
GCCUGGCUAGCUCAGUUGGUAGAGUAUGAGACUCUUACUUUUAGGGUCCUAGGUUCAAGCCCCAUGUUGGGUG